CCUCCACAACCACCUACUACUAGCCACCAGCAUUCACUCUAUUACAAUCGCCAUCCAACAUCCUCCACCACCCAACCCCAAAAAUGCAGAAGUUUCCAAUUUCAAACCCCAAAAAUCAUGCUUUUAUAGUUCAGUGAAUGGAUUGAAGUGAUAUUUGCCUUUUUUUUUUUUUAAGAUUUUGAUAAGUUGAUGCUGUUGGUACUAGCACCACUGCCCCCUCACCACCACUGCCUCUCCCAGUCGGAGCAUUUUCUUCGGUGGCGCCACAUUCCCAGAUUGCAUUGCCAUACUCCUUUGAGCCACAUUAUUUAAAAAAAAAUACAUUUUUCAACCGUAAUUUGAUAUCAUUUCAAUCACAUUUUUUAAUAAAAUAAUAUUACACGCAAAUUUAAAAUAUUUCUUUAUUUUUUAACCACACAUUUCCCAUCAAUAUACUAUGCAAAAAUACAUUUUCAUUCCAAUAAUGUGGUUCAAACAAUGGCAUGUAUA
rnacentral:lncRNA from 1 species